UGGGAUGGUCUCGAUUUACUGCAGUGUGCAC
rnacentral:piRNA from 1 species